rnacentral:rRNA from 1 species
UGGGGAAUAUUGGACAAUGGGGGGAACCCUGAUCCAGCCAUGCCGCGUGUGUGAAGAAGGCCUUAUGGUUGUAAAGCACUUUAAGCGAGGAGGAGGGUACUGGUAUUAAUACUACCAGGUACUGGACGUCACUCGCAGAAUAAGCACCGGCUAACUCUGUGCCAGCAGCCGCGGUAAUACAGAGGGUGCGAGCGUUAAUCGGAUUUACUGGGCGUAAAGCGUGCGUAGGCGGCUAAUUGAGUCGGAUGUGAAAUCCCCGAGCUUAACUUGGGAAUUGCAUUCGAUACUGGUUAGCUAGAGUGUGGGAGAGGAUGGUAGAAUUCCAGGUGUAGCGGUGAAAUGCGUAGAGAUCUGGAGGAAUACCGAUGGCGAAGGCAGCCAUCUGGCCUAACACUGACGCUGAGGUACGAAAGCAUGGGGAGCAAACAGG